GCCCUGCGCAGCCGGACCCAGCAAGAUCUGGCUCAGCCCUGCCAGGCCGCACUUAAAAAUCACAGAAUCGAUUAGGAACAGAAGUGGAAACUCAGAGAGAAACCUGUGGACUGCUAGUAAAUGAGAUGGAGGCAAGAGCUGAUCAAAGCUUUGAGAUCUCCUCAGGGAGAAGCAGUGUGUCCUUCAGAGGUUGCUGUGCCGGUUCUUGUAAGCCUGUUGGAGCUGACUGACUUUUCUGAAUGAAAAGGCUCUCUCUCAGAGAGAGCAGCACAUUUCCAGGAGCCUGGCUCCAGCAAGCAAACUUCCCUGUGGCUUCCUGUCGGCUUGGGGAGGAUUCGUGGCUGGGAUGUUUUACCUUUUCCGUGCCAACUCAACUGGAGUCAUGUCUCAAGAUGGUUCUUUGAUACCCUGUACAAAGGAUUGUUCCUUAUGGUGUUUUUGUCACGAAAUAAUAUGUUUCUGCAAAAAUUAAUCUGAUUAAAAUACAAAGAAUUAGGAUGGGGGACUGGAUAUGUGCAAAGUAGUAUUUAUGUAUCUGUUUCUUUUGUUAAUAGAUAGGCCUGCCAGUCCCACAAAAACUUAAGCAUG
rnacentral:lncRNA from 1 species